UCGGGAAUUUUGGGCAAUGGGCGAAAGCCUGACCCAGCAACGCCGCGUGAAGGAUGAAGUAUUUCGGUAUGUAAACUUCGAAAGAAUAGGAAGAAUAAAUGACGGUACUAUUUAUAAGGUCCGGCUAACUACGUGCCAGCAGCCGCGGUAAUACGUAGGGACCAAGCGUUGUUCGGAUUUACUGGGCGUAAAGGGCGCGUAGGCGGCAAUUCAAGUCAUCUGUGAAAUCUCCGGGCUUAACUCGGAACGGUCAGAUGAUACUGCUUUGCUAGAGUGCAGAAGGGGCAAUCGGAAUUCUUGGUGUAGCGGUGAGAUGCGUAGAUAUCAAGAGGAACACCUGAGGUGAAGACGGGUUGCUGGGCUGACACUGACGCUGAGGCGCGAAAGCCAGGGGAGCAAACGGGAUUAGAUACCCACGUAGUCCCUGAGCGGGCUGGCAAGGCGCAU
rnacentral:rRNA from 1 species